rnacentral:lncRNA from 1 species
ACCAGUUAUAUCAGUUUAUUAUAGUUCUGAUUAGAGCUGAGUGAUACGAUUAUAUACUUCAUUUGAUGAUAGAAAAACAUCUAUCGUUUAGUAUUGAGCUCCAUCGUCUAUAUCAAAAUACAACAGCCCUGGAAAAGUGAGCAAACCAAAGUUUCCAAUGUCAACCUCUCUCCGCUCUCUCUCUCCACCUGUCUCUCUCUCCCCUGUCUCUCUCCCAGUCUCUCUCUCACCAGUCUCUCUCUCUCCACCUGUCUCUCUCUCUACCCUGUCUCUCUCUCCCCUGUCUCUCUCUCUCCCAGUCUCUCUCUCACCAGUCUCUCUCUCUCCACCUGUCACUCUCUCCAUCUGUCUCUUUCUCUCUCUGCCUGUCUCUCUCUCCACCUGUCUCUUUCUCUCUCCCCUGUCUCUCUCUCUACCCUGUCUCUCUCUACCCCUCUGUCUCUCUCUACCCUGUCAUGUCUCUUUCUCUGUGUCUUUCUCCAUCUUUCUCUCUCUCUCUCUCUCUCUCUCUGUAGUUAAAAAUAACUGAAUUUAUAGAAAAUCUAUUGUGAUCUGUGUCGUUACUGGGAUAUGAAGUUUCCUGUAUCGUGUUUAAUUUUUGGUCAUAUCACACAGCCCUAAUUCACACACUUAAUUCACCAUAGAGAAAAAAACCCAUUAUAUCUGUUACUGAAUUUCUUCUAUUUGUUUUACUGAACCACACAAUAACCCAAAGUGCCCGUCCCCACAGAGUGUGUGAGUAGUGUGUGUUUCUGUGACAAGUGUGUGUGUGUCUGAUCUUUCUGUCCUGUUUUUUGUUUUACAGCAUCCAUCCAUAAAAGACUGAUAUGCUCCAACUGGCUAAUCUGACAGUUCUCCUUCUGACAUCACUUCCUGUUUACCAGUGACUCCACAUACAGUGUCCUGUACAUCAACACACACACACACACACACAGGUAUGGUUGAAUAUGGGUGAAGAAGAACUGAAGGAGCAGAAGCUGCUGCUUCUGUUCUCUAACAGUAAUCAAUAUGAAGAUUCUGAUCUUAUUAAACUGCUUUAAUCAUAUUUAUUACAGUGUUUUAUUCAUUCAGGACUUCUGUAGCGUCUAGAAGCGUCCAAUCACCUGCUUUAAAAAUGUACAGCACUCCUACAAAGUGUUUUUAUGUUUAUAAAGAUCUGCUUUGUUAAUUCUGUUUAUGUUUAGUUAUGAACUUAUCCUGAAGCUCCUCUGAGUCA